GAAAUGCGAUACGCAAUGCGAAUUGCAGAAUUCCGCGAAUCAUCAGAUUCUUGAACGCAACUGGCGCUGGAGGGCUAUCCUUCCAGCAUGCCUGUUUCAGUGUCUGAAAACUUCCAAAACUAACAUAAUGUGUUUGACGAGGAGUGAUUCUUUAUGGGUCAUUUUUCCAAGUCUUACAUUAAAGAUGUAUGUGUGGGUCUUUGGAUCCAUCGAAUUGGUCACUGACACUUCAGUGAUUUCGAUUGGAGUAUCCAAUUACUCGUAUGCACAUAGAACAUAUAUAUAUAUAAAUAUGUAUAUAUAUAAAUAUCUUUAUUCAUUGCAUCUGAAAUCAGGCAAGAACACCCGCUGAACUUAA
rnacentral:misc_RNA from 1 species